rnacentral:rRNA from 1 species
AUUGAACGCUGGCGGCAGGCCUAACACAUGCAAGUCGAACGAGUGGCGGACGGGUGGGUAAUGUCUGGGAAACUGCCUGAUGGAGGGGGAUAACUACUGGAAACGGUAGCUAAUACCGCAUACCAUCGGAUGUGCCCAGAUGGGAGUAGCUAGUAGGUGGGGUAAUGGCUCACCAAGGCGACGAUCCCUAGAUGGUCUGCGAGGAUGACCAGCCACACUGGAACUGAGACACGGUACAGACUCCUACGGGAGGCAGCAGUGGGGAAUAUUGCACAAGGGGCGCAAGCCUGAUGCAGCCAUGCCGCGUGUGUGAAGAAGGCCUGCGGGUUGUAAAGCACUUUCAGCGAGGAGGCGUUACUCGCAGAAGAAGCACCGGCUAACUCCGUGCCAGCAGCCGCGGUAAUUC